ACAUUAGGGAGGCAUUUGUGAAUCUACAGUAUUUCCUGUUAUCAGUAAGUGCCUGUUCUUCCUCAAAUGGAACAACGUUGUCAGGCUGGUUCACUUAGCUUUAAUCUCAUCACUGCACUGAAAGCAGCAAACUGAUUGCAAGAUGAAGGGGAAGAGAGGCAUAAACACAAAGUCCAGUGCAUGCAACACACAGAAGACUUGUUUCUUUCCCGGUUGCAACAAACAAAGAAGGUCUCCCAAGAUACAGAAGCAUGCUCCUACUGCUAAGGACAACUUUUGAAAGGACGAAAGGCUGGAUGAAGUUGUAAACAAAAAAACUCAAAUAAUAAGAGGAAAAAUGAAGGGUAAUUAUUGGGUGAGAAUAACAAGACAAGGCCAGGCUGUGCAUGAAUCUUGUUGCUAUUCUUUUUAAAAUGCUAUUUGCAUUUUAUUUGUAAAUGCUUUCCACAUGAUCCUGGAAGCCCAGAAGCAGAAGCACUUGCCCAAAUGACUUAAGUCUGAACUAGUCUAGGCAGCUGCCAUCUCCCUGUGAGUCCCAGGAGAGUGGUGUCAGCAUGUGGGUCCUUACCUGGUGGCGGUAGUUGUACCAGCCAUUGGAACCUGCAACAAUCACCACCCAGUGCUUGCCUCCAUCUUCAGGCUCUUCCAGGGGGAACGUGCUGAUGCCCAGAGUGCAGCUCAGCAGUACAACUGCUUCCAAUAUCAUCUUUCUUCUUUAUUUAUU